rnacentral:rRNA from 1 species
AGUGAACGCUGGCGGUAGGCCUAACACAUGCAAGUCGAACGGCAGCACAGUAAGAGCUUGCUCUUACGGGUGGCGAGUGGCGGACGGGUGAGGAAUACAUCGGAAUCUACUUUUUCGUGGGGGAUAACGUAGGGAAACUUACGCUAAUACCGCAUACGACCUACGGGUGAAAGCAGGGGAUCUUCGGACCUUGCGCGAUUGAAUGAGCCGAUGUCGGAUUAGCUAGUUGGCGGGGUAAAGGCCCACCAAGGCGACGAUCCGUAGCUGGUCUGAGAGGAUGAUCAGCCACACUGGAACUGAGACACGGUCCAGACUCCUACGGGAGGCAGCAGUGGGGAAUAUUGGACAAAGGGCGCAAGCCUGAUCCAGCCAUACCGCGUGGGUGAAGUAGGCCUUCGGGUUGUAAAGCCCUUUUGUUGGGAAAGAAAAGCAGCAGGUUAAUACCCCGCUGUUCUGACGGUACCCAAAGAAUAAGCACCGGCUAACUUCGUG